UACAGAGGGGGCAAGCGUUAUUCGGAAUUAUUGGGCGUAAAGGGCGCGUAGGCGGUUCUUCAAGUCUCUCGUGAAAUCCCUCGGCUUAACUGAGGACGUGCGGGAGAUACUGAAGGACUUGAGUCCGGAAGAGGGUGGUGGAAUUCCCAGUGUAGCGGUGAAAUGCGUAGAUAUUGGGAGGAACACCGGUGGCGAAGGCGGCCACCUGGGCCGGAACUGACGCUGAGGCGCGAAAGCGUGGGGAGCAAACGGG
rnacentral:rRNA from 1 species